rnacentral:rRNA from 1 species
AGAGUUUGAUCCUGGCUCAGGACGAACGCUGGCGGCGUGCCUAAUACAUGCAAGUCGAACGAACUCUGGUAUUGAUUGGUGCUUGCAUCAUGAUUUACAUUUGAGUGAGUGGCGAACUGGUGAGUAACACGUGGGAAACCUGCCCAGAAGCGGGGGAUAACACCUGGAAACAGAUGCUAAUACCGCAUAACAACUUGGACCGCAUGGUCCAAGUUUGAAAGAUGGCUUCGGCUAUCACUUUUGGAUGGUCCCGCGGCGUAUUAGCUAGAUGGUGGGGUAACGGCUCACCAUGGCAAUGAUACGUAGCCGACCUGAGAGGGUAAUCGGCCACAUUGGGACUGAGACACGGCCCAAACUCCUACGGGAGGCAGCAGUAGGGAAUCUUCCACAAUGGACGAAAGUCUGAUGGAGCAACGCCGCGUGAGUGAAGAAGGGUUUCGGCUCGUAAAACUCUGUUGUUAAAGAAGAACAUAUCUGAGAGUAACUGUUCAGGUAUUGACGGUAUUUAACCAGAAAGCCACGGCUAACUACGUGCCAGCAGCCGCGGUAAUACGUAGGUGGCAAGCGUUGUCCGGAUUUAUUGGGCGUAAAGCGAGCGCAGGCGGUUUUUUAAGUCUGAUGUGAAAGCCUUCGGCUCAACCGAAGAAGUGCAUCGGAAACUGGGAAACUUGAGUGCAGAAGAGGACAGUGGAACUCCAUGUGUAGCGGUGAAAUGCGUAGAUAUAUGGAAGAACACCAGUGGCGAAGGCGGCUGUCUGGUCUGUAACUGACGCUGAGGCUCGAAAGUAUGGGUAGCAAACAGGAUUAGAUACCCUGGUAGUCCAUACCGUAAACGAUGAAUGCUAAGUGUUGGAGGGUUUCCGCCCUUCAGUGCUGCAGCUAACGCAUUAAGCAUUCCGCCUGGGGAGUACGGCCGCAAGGCUGAAACUCAAAGGAAUUGACGGGGGCCCGCACAAGCGGUGGAGCAUGUGGUUUAAUUCGAAGCUACGCGAAGAACCUUACCAGGUCUUGACACGUGGAAAACGGGACAGCAUACAUUACUAGUGAAUGGUCAGCCGGUCAAUCGGCAACAAACGUACCAGAUUGCGUUAUUAGAUCAUGAUUUAUUCAUUCCGUUUUUCCCGACCAUUAAUAUCAGUGGUCGAACUGAGAUAUUAUUUGAAGCCAUGUUAAGAACGGUUGUUGGCGAUUACUUAAUGCGUCGAUGG